GAUGAACGCUAGCAGGAGGCUUAAUACAUGCAAGUCGAACGGUAAGGUCCAGCUUGCUGGAUACACGAGUGGCGAACGGGUGAGUAACGCGUACAUACCUACCUAUAGGAGGGGAAUAGCCCUGGGAAACUGGGAUUAAUGCCCCAUAAUAUUAAGAUGUUUAUAUGUUUUAAUUAAAGUUCCGGCGCCUAUAGAUGGAUGUGCGUCCCAUUAGCUAGUUGGUAAGGUAGUUGCUUACCAAGGCUACGAUGGGUAGGGGGCGUGAGAGCGUGAUCCCCCACACGGGUACUGAGACACGGACCCGACUCCUACGGGAGGCAGCAGUAAGGAAUAUUGGACAAUGGGGGCAACCCUGAUCCAGCCAUCCUGCGUGUAGGAUGACGGCCCUAUGGGUUGUAAACUACUUUUAUAGAGGAAGAAAAGUCUGGAUUUAUCUGGAUCUGACGGUACUCUAAGAAUAAGCACCGGCUAACUCCG
rnacentral:rRNA from 1 species